rnacentral:rRNA from 1 species
UACGUAGGGUGCGAGCGUUAAUCGGAAUUACUGGGCGUAAAGCGUGCGCAGGCGGUUGUGCAAGACGGAUGUGAAAUCCCCGGGCUUAACCUGGGAAUUGCAUUCGUGACUGCACGGCUAGAGUGUGUCAGAGGGGGGUAGAAUUCCACGUGUAGCAGUGAAAUGCGUAGAUAUGUGGAGGAAUACCGAUGGCGAAGGCAGCCCCCUGGGAUAACACUGACGCUCAUGCACGAAAGCGUGGGGAGCAAACAGG